CGGUUGAUCCUGCCGGACCCGACUGCUAUUUGGGUGAGGAUAAGCCAUGCGAGUUGAAUGGGAUACCUAAAUUUCCCAUGGCAAACUGCUCAGUAACACAUGAUCAACUUACCCUAUAGAGAAAAAUAACCUCAGGAAACUGAGGAUAAUGUUUCAUAGUUGAAUAGGCUUGGAAAAGUUAUUCAACAAAAGGAAUAAAAACAAUGGUUUUUAUUCGCUAUAGGAUAGGAUCGUGUUCGAUUAUGGUCGUUGGUGAGGUAACGGCUCACCAAGCCGAUAAUCGAUAGGGGCCGUGAGAGCGGGAGCCCCGAGAUGGGUACUGAGACAGCGACCCAGGCCUUACGAGGCGCAGCAGGCGCGGAACCUCCGCAAUACACGAAAGUGUGACGGGGUUACCCAAAGUGUUCAGUUUUGAACUGUGGUAGGUGAGUAAUGUCCCCUACUAGAAAGGAGAGGGCAAGGCUGGUGCCAGCCGCCGCGGUAAAACCAGCUCUUCAAGUGGUCGGGAUAAUUAUUGGGCUUAAAGUGUCCGUAGCCGGUUUAGUAAGUUCCUGGUAAAAUCGGGUAGCUUAACUAUCUGCAUGCUAGGAAUACUGCUAUACUAGAGGGCGGGAGAGGUCUGAGGUACUACAGGGGUAGGGGUGAAAUCUUAUAAUCCUUGUAGGACCACCAGUGGCGAAGGCGUCAGACUGGAACGUGCCUGACGGUGAGGGACGAAAGCCAGGGGAGCGAACCGGAUUAGAUACCCGGGUAGUCCUGGCCGUAAACGAUGCAUACUAGGUGAUGGCAUGGCCAUGAGCCGUGUCAGUGCCGUAGGGAAACCGUUAAGUGUGCCGCCUGGGAAGUACGGUCGCAAGGCUAAAACUUAAAGGAAUUGGCGGGGGAGCAC
rnacentral:rRNA from 1 species